rnacentral:sRNA from 1 species
UCCUGUUUUGCUGUAGGCUGGGUCCUCAACGGCUCAGCUGUCCUCAGCAGAGCAUGCAGACCGUGGUAGAAUUUUCUCACGGUAAGCCUCAUUUCCUGUGUUUCUCACUAGAGUUGAUUAUUAUUCUUGUUUUCUCCUUCUCUAAGACCAGGUCCCAGGAGAUGGACAUUAGAAGAACAGAGGAAGAUCUGAACUCAACUUAAAUGCCACGAAGCGAGGCGCUGUAAUCCAGGACUUCUGACCCGGAACAUCGGUAGAUGUCAAGAGUUCUGCAAGUAGAGGUCAGGUGGUCUAGAAGCUUGGCUAGGAAAAGAACCAUUCCUCUCUCCACCUCCUGAUGAAGUGGCCUUUUCCUUCAGCGAUGAAUGGAGGAAGCCGCAGUGACAGUGGCAAAACCUGUGGUUUUGUCACUGGUGAAAAAGGAGUAGCCUUAUUGGAGGAAGUGUGUUACUGUGGAAGCAGGCUUUGAAGUCUUACAUAUGCUCAAGCUACGCCCAGAAUGACUCGCAGUCUCCUUCUGCUGCCUUUGGAUCAAGAUGGAGAACCCUCUGCUUCUUUUCUAGUACCAUGUCAACCUGGACACUGCCAUGCUUCCCACCAUCAUGAUAAUUGACUGAAACUGUAAAUUGCUUGUACUUAUGUCUUCCAAGAACCUGCUUCCAGACGAGUUCAAUGCAGGAUACUGGAGCAGUCAACUCAGUUGCCCACGACUACAUGGCUGGUGAGUGACAGGUCUGCUGGCAAAUUAUGUGUCUCUAACCAUCCCCAGUCGCUUCUCUUGGCUGGCAUAUUACUUAUUGUCCCUGAAGGAUACCAUUGACUCGGGAUGUAAUUAAGCCGGUAGGUGCUUCUGUCUGAGUAUCUGACUUGAAAGAUGAGAGGAGUCCCAGAGGGUGAAGGAGUCUGCAGUUCAGCCAUCUGAGAACCUGAUGUGACAGGACGCGGAUGCUAUGAUGCUCAGGUUACAGCAGCCUGUGGGAGCUCCUUAAGCACCUUGAGAGGGAAAGUCCAAAAUGUCCAGGAAGGUAAAGCAUGGUGGGAGAAUUGGGGAGCUGACAGAUCACAUUUUUAUCUACAUACAAGAAGCAGACAGAAGAACCAGGACUUGGGACAAAGCUAUAGACCCUCAAAGCCCACCCCCAGCAACUUACUUCCUCUGCACAGUUUAUCUUGGCUGUCAACCUGAUUGGAUUAGAGUCAACUAAGAGAGAAGCUGCUUGUCAAGUCUAUCCUGUUCCUGUGGCUAUAGAGGGGCAGGGCCUUCCACAUCACGACAGCUGCUGGAAGAUCCAGCCUAUAGAUUAGGCUGGCAACCACUGAACUCUCUGGUUCCCCCUCCCAGAUGUGCCUCACUACCUGCCCACAACGGAACAUCCAGGUACUGAUAGAAACCAACAUAAAUCUUUCCUCUUUUCAUCUGUCUCCCAGGAAUGGAGAGAGCCAGUUGCCGACAAACUUGCUUUAUCCCUGACCAAGCACUCAGGAAUCACCACCUAUGCAAACACCUACACCCAAAACUUUCAGGAUCUGCUUUUGAGAGAACUUAAACUGAAACAAUGUUUUAAAUAAUUUGAAUUUAAAAUUAGGCUUAUGCAUAUAUUCGUGCCCGGCUGCCUCCAGUUCCUGUGUAGAAACCUGACUGAUGUGAUGACAUUGUUAAAGGAGGCUUUGGGGAGGUGAUGGAGGACUUCACCCUCGUGGGUGGAAUUAGUUUUCUUAUCAAAGAGGCCUCAGAGAGCUAGUAUGAGUCUUCUCGCAAGAGAAGAUCCUGAUAGUGGGUGUUGUCAAUAAGCCAGAGGGCAAGCCCUCAUUAGACUCCAAAUCGUCCAGUGCCUUGAGUUUGGGCGUCAUAGCUUCCAGAACUAGGUUUCUCCCACGUGUGCUUCUUGGUUUGUUCUCUCUGCAUAGGUUAGUUGGGCCUCUUCACAGUACAGUUCCCCAAACUAUGUAAAAUUGAUUAGAGAGACUCAGGUUUUGCCAGGGUGGGCAGGAAUUUACUGCUGUUAGAGCAUUAUUAAAACUGUUAAUGUAAACAAUAAACCUUUAUUGUAGAUAACCCUUUUAAUGUGAUGAGAGAGUACCUAGCCCAGAGUACAGCAAUGACAAUAGUAGCAAUAGUGACUAGAGGGAGGGUAGUCGACACAGAGAACAGCAACACAUUAGCAAACGCAGUGGCAACGGCAGCCAUAGUGACGAGAGAUUGAUAGGCCAUCCCAGAAAUGAGGAGGAGCAGGGUAAAGUGCUUUAAAGACAAGGAACUCUUUGCCUUGGGACUUCCAGGGAACUUCCAGGCCUUAAAGUUCAAAUUUUCAAAUAUGCCAGGCCCAGGAAUUCUAAGGCUUGGUUGUGAAGGGAUGAGGAUCCCAUUUUAAACCUAAAACAUGUGUCACGGGAAAGCUGGGAGUUCAAAGACCUGAAGCAAAUACCGAAAGCGACACUGAGGACACUGCCUUUCUGAAUGUGGGGGCACACACACCUUUGAUCCAAGCACUCGGGAAACAGAGGGAUGUAGAUGUCUGUGAGUUUGGGGCCA